rnacentral:rRNA from 1 species
UACGUAGGGUGCAGCGUUAAUCGGAAUUACUGGGCGUAAAGCGUGCGCAGGCGGUUCGUUGUGUCGGCGGUGAAAGCCCCGGGCUUAACCUGGGAAUGGCCGUUGAAACUGGCGAACUGGAGUGUGGCAGAGGGGGGGUGGAAUUCCACGUGUAGCGGUGAAAUGCGUAGGAUAAUGUGGAGGAAUACCGAUGGCGAAGGCAGCCUCCUGGGCCAAGCACUGACGCUCGAUGACACGAAAGCGUGGGGAGCA